rnacentral:rRNA from 1 species
AUUGAACGCUGGCAGCAGGCCUAACACAUGCAAGUCGAGCGGAUGAAGGGAGCUUGCUCCUGGAUUCAGCGGCGGACGGGUGAGUAAUGCCUAGGAAUCUGCCUGGUAGUGGGGGAUAACGUCCGGAAACGGGCGCUAAUACCGCAUACGUCCUGAGGGAGAAAGUGGGGGAUCUUCGGACCUCACGCUAUCAGAUGAGCCUAGGUCGGAUUAGCUAGUUGGUGGGGUAAAGGCCUACCAAGGCGACGAUCCGUAACUGGUCUGAGAGGAUGAUCAGUCACACUGGAACUGAGACACGGUCCAGACUCCUACGGGAGGCAGCAGUGGGGAAUAUUGGACAAUGGGCGAAAGCCUGAUCCAGCCAUGCCGCGUGUGUGAAGAAGGUCUUCGGAUUGUAAAGCACUUUAAGUUGGGAGGAAGGGCAGUAAGUUAAUACCUUGCUGUUUUGACGUACCAACAGAAUAAGCACCG